rnacentral:rRNA from 1 species
AUGAGCUGCAAGAAAAUUUACCACAUGCAUUAUAGGCAACUUUUGACUACAACUAGCCCUGUAAUAAAGAAAAUAUAUACCCUUUUGUUAUUGUAUAAACAGAGAAGUAGCAAAUAUAAACUGUCCGUAGUCACGUCGAUUUGUGAUAAACAUAUAGAUCUGAGAUUUUACGGAUUUCCUAUACUAUACCAAUUUCUAUUUGUUACACUAUUUCCGCUCACGUACCGUAUUAAUGGGCGAACAACCCAACCCUUGGAACCACCUACAGCUAUGUGGUAUGGGUCAGCAACGACCCCAGUCGAAUUAUUUGGGCCUACUCAUUUUAUUAAUCAAAGAGAUACGACUUUGGGCUAA